CGCACAUUGCGCCCCUUGGUAUUCCGGGGGGCAUGCCUGUUCGAGCGUCAUUUCAACCCUCAAGCAUUGCUUGGUCUUGGGCCCUGUCGGCAACGGCUGGCCUUAAAAGCAGUGGCGGUGCCGCCUCGGCUCUGCGCGUAGUAAUGUUCUCGCGUGUGAGCGGUGGCGAGCAGUGGCCAGCAACCCCUCAACUUCUAUGGUUGACCUCGAAUCAGGUAGGGAUACCCGCUGAACUUAA
rnacentral:misc_RNA from 1 species